rnacentral:lncRNA from 1 species
GUUGGAAGAACUACUCACCGAUUGCUCCGUAACGAAUUGCUCGCAGAGGGCGGUCAAGGGUUCCGAGUGAUGGUGGAGCGAGAAAGAAGUAGGUCUUACGGCCACUUUCGGUUUGUCCUUGGUGAAACCGUGCAAGAAGGAGGACCUGGGAUUGGCGGGAGGGGAAGUGGCCGAAAUGGAGACGUAUGGAGAUGCGGUCGUUUCCGAAGACUCGUCCGAAUCCGCCCUUCCGUCCGGCUCACCAGCCAGCUCCCGACUCUCCAACUCCAGGUUGGUCCCACUCAAAUCCAACGAGUCCGGCUUGCCACCGUUUUGCAUAUGCGAGUGGUUCGAAUGAACAUCCUCAUCAUGCUUCUCCCUGGUAGCCGCGUUGAUCUUACUAUAGGUAGAAUUGAUGAUAAGCGGAAGUUGUAUGGGGUUCUCUCGUCCCGUCGGCUCCGUCCCGUUCAUAGUCACAGCCACCUCACUCGUGAAGCUCUCUUUGAUCGUGGUCUUCGGAGAGUCGGAAGAGUUCUUCGCGUUCUUCGACACCACCGAAUCUACCGGUUUAACUUCUUCGUUUUUGUACAUAGCCAGUCUAUUCUCACUAUCUUUGAGCAAAUGUUUAUCAGUCUUUUCAACGUGUGCGGAGUCGUCCGUGAUGUCCACGGCGGACAGGUGGAGGAACUUCUUGGUCCGGAUCGGCUCGUGGACCUUGGUCAAGAUGGUGCCUCUGGUGAUCUGCGUCUUCCGGUUGGUCACCUCGAUGUUACUCGAAUAGACCUUGUCCUCGCUACCUUUCUGACUCAGAGCUUGGUUUAGAAUCAGGUUGGUGAGGUUGUUCUCCGCCACCCGAUUCGUGACCGUCGUGUUGUUCUGCGUCACAGCGGCGUCGCUCGUGUCGAGUAAUUUGAACAAAUGCGUCUUCCUGGACGAAGCUAUUGAGUUGGUGUAGGGUACAGAGUUGUUGACGACCGGUUUAUUCUUGUCCUCGUUCUCGAAAGCCGAUUUGAUUAGGGUGGCUUUCUUCUUGGGUGGAGCUUGGGAGGUGGCGAAAGGCUCCACGGAGACGAGGAGGGUUUGUUUCUUGCCCUCGCCGUCCGUUAGAGGUUUGCCGAGUUCCAGGGGUUGGAUCUUCUUGGUUUUUUUGUCGUUCUUGUCGUCCAGGUUGGCCGUGACCGAGUUGAAGUCGGUGUUGAUUCUCGUGAGCUUCUGGAGUUCUUUCUCGUCUUCGCCGUCCGGGAAAAUGAUGUCGCAGUCGUCGUUGGAGGGCUCGAAGAAACCGUCCUCCUCGUCCGACGAGUACUCGUCGCCGCCAUAGCCGAUCACUUCGAACUCCUCCGGCAGGAAACUCACUGUAUGCUUCUUACCCGUGUGUGCUUUCCCUUUGAGGAUACUCUGAAACAGACAAAAAUGAUCACUUAUUAUUGAUUUGAAAAAUGCUUCUUAGCGUGGCUUCAGAAAUAAAUCCCUUACCCAAGUAGUAUAUUUCAAAGGAAAAAUCACGAUAUUUUGAAAUUAAGUUGCUAUUGAUUUCCAAUUUUCUCGUGAUAAAAUUGCUAGGAUCAUCAACAUCUGAACAAUUAUCCUGAAUUUUGUCGCAAUUUUAUCUCUGUAUAAUCGCGUUCGAUAAAGUCGGAAUUUUACCUCAAUUUAUCACUCAAAUUACCCGAGGCUAUAACUGUGCCAUUUAUGAUAACGAAGAAAGAUUUGGAGUUUUCAUCAGACACCACACCAAGCCAAAAA